rnacentral:piRNA from 1 species
CUGGUUGUCGGAAAGCAUCUGAAAAUGCGUU